AUGCAAGUCGAGGGGUAUAGUUCUUCGGAACUAGAGACCGGCGCACGGGUGCGUAACGCGUAUGCAAUCUACCUUUUACAGCGGGAUAGCCCAGAGAAAUUUGGAUUAAUACCACAUAGUAUUAUGAAAUGGCAUCAUUUUAUAAUUAAAGUCACAACGGUAAAAGAUGAGCAUGCGUCCCAUUAGUUAGUUGGUAAGGUAACGGCUUACCAAGACUACGAUGGGUAGGGGUCCUGAGAGGGAGAUCCCCCACACUGGUACUGAGACACGGACCAGACUCCUACGGGAGGCAGCAGUGAGGAAUAUUGGACAAUGGGCGCAAGCCUGAUCCAGCCAUGCCGCGUGCAGGAUGACGGUCCUAUGGAUUGUAAACUGCUUUUAUACGAGAAGAAACCACUCUACGUGUAGAGUCUUGACGGUAUCGUAAGAAUAAGGAUCGGCUAACUCCGUGCCAGCAGCCGCGGUAAUACGGAGGAUCCAAGCGUUAUCCGGAAUCAUUGGGUUUAAAGGGUCCGUAGGCGGCUUUAUAAGUCAGUGGUGAAAUCUCCCCGCUCAACGGGGAAACGGCCAUUGAUACUGUAAGGCUUGAAUUAUUAGGAAGUAACUAGAAUAUGUAGUGUAGCGGUGAAAUGCUUAGAGAUUACAUGGAAUACCAAUUGCGAAGGCAGGUUACUACUAAUACAUUGACGCUGAUGGACGAAAGCGUGGGUAGCGAACAGGAUUAGAUACCCUGGUAGUCCACGCCGUAAACGAUGGAUACUAGCUGUUGGGCGCAAGUUCAGUGGCUAAGCGAAAGUGAUAAGUAUCCCACCUGGGGAGUACGUUCGCAAGAAUGAAACUCAAAGGAAUUGACGGGGGCCCGCACAAGCGG
rnacentral:rRNA from 1 species